GGGAGUGGGAAAGAGGUGGCAUCGGCGGUUCAAGACUGAGUUUUCUAUCUCUUCAGUGCCUCUUUCAACAAUGAAGAUCAAACCAGGUUUUGUGCAAAUAUCUGCUGAGUGAACUACUUAUUUGAAAAUACAUCAUUGGUUAAUAUUCCCUUUUGCUCAUUGAAAUCUCAAAGACUACAGACCCCGCACAAGACAUUCUGACAUUCCCGUCUUUGAAAUGAAUGACAGCAAUGAUAAAUAUGGCUCACCUCCAGAGAUACAGAUCUCACAACUUCAUAUUUUUAAUAUAAAUUAUUAAUCUGAGAAGCAGAGAGAGAUAAGACCCAUGAUAAUCAAGCCAUAAACAGAUGCAUUUACUAGCUGAAUGGCCAACAAUGGAAUUCAACAAAUCCAUCUUGAGCACGGCAGCCAGGAGUGUGGUGCAAUUCCAUUAGAUGAAAGAGAUCUACACAUUCAGAAGCACAUGAUUCUUCCCCCUUCCAUGAUUCCAGUGGCCAAUAGACAAACUACAAUAAAGCCAUGCCCUGACUGGAUGUGCCUAACAUUUGUCUGGUGCUUAAAGGAGUUGGCUGCAUGCGUGGGAUGGAGAAGGAUUCAACAUUUAAUGGCAGUUAGAAUCAAAUUUUUAACUCAAGAAGGCAGAAGGAAUCCACCUAAAUAAAUGUUGGAAAGUCACCAAAAAUAGUUCUCCAAGUCAGAAGCGGUGCAAAAGCUGCCUCAGCUCUUGGUGGAUUUUCAAUUUCUCCCAGCCAUCUCUGUUUCGCUAAAGGUUUCUGAAGACAGUGGAAUGCUGUUGAAGACACCACCUUGAUAAAACAAAAACAUCAGCCAAAUUAAAUUUAAAGGAGUUUAAUUGAGCAAAGAAUUAUUCAUGAAUCAAGCAGUCUUCCAAGCCAGAGUAGGCUCAAAUACUCCAGCACAGCCACGUGGUGGAAGAUUUAUGGACAAAAGAAGAAAAGUAACAUAUAGAAAAUGGAAAUGAGGGGAAGCUUUUUUCUCCUCCCCAUCCUGAUCACUAGUAUGAGAAGGGGUGCUAAUGGACCAGCCUUGGCCUUGCAGAUGAAGAUGAUGAAGGAAGAAGGUAAAAGGAAACUGUGUACCUGUGUGACCUCUGGUAGUUCAGGUGCCCUAUCCUGCGGGCCACCUGUUAGCUUAAACUUUUGUAUAAUUGAGAAAAUGAGGGUUUUCUCUUAAUUAAGGCACUGUUGUUUGUUGUUUACUAAGGCAACCAAAUAAAUCACCUAGCUAAUAAAGAA
ensembl:lncRNA LINC01192 long intergenic non-protein coding RNA 1192